UGGUAGAGUGUUCGCCUAUCAAUCCGAAGAGCGCGGGUUCGAGAACCGCUUCUUGCCCUUGGUUUAGGAUACGUCGCAUUGCAUUUUUACAAGUGUAUUUAUUUUUAUCACUCACACACCAGGGGGUCCGCCCCCUGGCCGCUACGCAGCCCAACCCUUGGGGCGAAAAGGGCCGCUUCACAGCAAACAAAUCAUCGAAAUCGACCGUUGGCGGUUGCAAAUUCAGAGUAAGGAGGAAGUCAUUAAGAAUAUUGUGUGGUGGGAAAUUUUUAUUUGAAACAUCGUUUGUCAUUCAAUUAAAUGAUUUGCUCAAUAACCGUCUACGGUCGAAUUCGAUGUUUCGCUUGCCGCGAAGCGGCCCUUUUUGCCCGGGGGUUGGGCUGCGUAGCGGACAGGGGUCGGACCCCCUGGUGUGUGAGUGAUAAAAAUAUACAACUUGUAAAAAUGCAAUGCGGCGUAUCCUAAAACCAAGGGCAAGAAGCGGGACACAAACUCACGAUUCGGAUCGGUUGGCGAACACUCUACUGCUCGGCCACAGAAGAGAUUGUAUAAUCAACCGGUCAAGUCGGGUUAAUAGACAUCACACUUCGUGCGGCUUGCGGCGCUCAGUUGACUCGCCGGAACUCAGCGCGGAAACGUGCAAAAAUUGUAACUUUUAAAAAUCGAUAUCUCGAGAACGGUUCGAAGGUGGCGGCUAAAAAAAAAUACAUCAACCUUAGAUUUGUCUCUUCCUCAUAUACAAGCAAAAUAAACCCAAUCCCAGGAUGUCACUUCGUAGACUCCCCUUGUAUGUGAUUUUAAUAAUGAUGUUUAAAAAAUACAUUUUGGGGGUUUUCACUGACAAGUAUGCUUGGACACCAUGUUUGUGUAAUAAAAUAAAUAAAAUAUAAAGCAAUUAAAGCAUCCAUUUCAAGCAUUUGAUUUUUUUCGUCCCUAUUAGAUGGGGAGGGACACAUGUUCAUUAUAAUUACAAAUGUGUCUUAUAUUGAUUUUUUUUUUUUUUUUUUUCAAACUACAGAAAGGACUAAAGAAUGUUUUUUCGAUGAAGCAAUAUUGGCAGCGUUGGAACCUCCAGAACCGUGAAGAAAAGAAAGUGUUGUAUACUUUGAUUUCACAUCUCAUUUUCAGUGUUGUGGACUUGUAUCGAUCCGUCCCUCAUCAUGAUGAAAAUAGCAAUGACUCUAACUUACAAUGCAGCUUUUAUCAGUGUGUAAAGCCCCAGUCCCAAGUAAAGAUUUUCUUGAAUCUGUUGCGGACAAUACCAAGGUGAAGAAAGCAAACAAAAUUGUCAUGAAUAAUUUCAGGGUUUUUAAGUUUGAAAUUUUAGAGGAAACGACAAUUCUGUUUGAGAUUAUUUUAAAGCUAGAUUGGUUUUUACACUUAAGUUUUCUGGUGUCAGUCAGUUAGCAACCCUCUUUCAAUGUUCUCAUGCCAAUAGAAUCAAUGCGUCAGUUCAUGGCCUUUAUCUUUAUCAAUCUUGAGUCGUUCAUCAAACACAAUUGUCAAACUAAGCAAAGCCAUCACUCUGUGAAGCAGAGUGUUGGAGUAAAAUUUCUGGCUGAGUCAGCAUCAUGUCAUGAGCAGGAUGAAGAGGAAUUUUGUGGAAGAGAGAAGACCAGAAAACCUAGUAAUUCAAGUGCUGUUGAUAAUCUCUUGAAAAAAGGGCAAAACCUACUAUAGCCCUCCCCCCUUUACCUGAUUUUGCCCAGUAGACAUCAUCCAAGUAUUACCACAAGAGACACCCAGCAAUUUUUCAACAGUCACUAGGCAGGCUUUUUUCCCCACAAUCAAAUUUUUUGAAACAAUUCUCUCAGCAGUUUACUUUUUCUCUCUUUCCUUUUAAAUCCUCUAAUCAUUUCUGAAAGCCCAUAUUUAGAUAUUUUUCUUAAAAUUUGAGAGCAAAACAUGAGGAUUAGAAAGAAAGUAGCACACUACGUUAUUAGAACACACUAACGAUAUCAAAUCCUGGAGGCACGAACAAUGAUAAACAGAAGUUAAUUAUACUGAA
rnacentral:lncRNA from 1 species